GUGCUUGCUUAGGCAGCACAUAUACUAAAAUUGGAAUGAUUCAGAGAAGAUUAGCAUGGUCCCUGCGCGAAGAUGACACACAAAUAUAGUAUUGAGAACCAGCUAAUU
ensembl:snRNA U6 U6 spliceosomal RNA